rnacentral:rRNA from 1 species
AUUAUUUAAGAGACUAAUGUUGUUAGUAAAUAAAAAUUAUGAAAGCAAAAAAUUAUGGCGGUAUUUUAAGCUUUUCAGAGGAAUUUGCUCUUUAAUGGAUAAAACACCUAAAUCUUACUUAAAUUUGUUAGUUCAAUUUGUAUACCACUAUAAAAACAAUUAAUAACUUUAAUUGUUAAAAUUUAUUAAAUUAAAUUAUGUUAAGUCAAGGUGCAGUAAAAAUUUAAGAAUGAAGUGAAUUACAUUUCUUUUCAGAGAAAAAAAAUUAAAUCUAUAAAUAGGAUUUGAAAGUAAAAUUAAAAUAGAAUGCUAAUUUGAAUAAAGCUCUAAAAUAUGUAC